UUCUGGUUGAUCCCGCCGGACCUGACUGCUAUCGGAUUGAUACUAAGCCAUGCGAGUCAUUGUAGUAAUACAAGGCAUACGGCUCAGUAACGCGUAGUCAACCUAACCUAUGGACGGGAAUAACCUCGGGAAACUGAGUAUAAUUCCCGAUAGAACAUUAUGCCUGGAAUGGUUUAUGUUCCAAAUGAUUUAUCGCCGUAGGCUGGGACUGCGGCCUAUCAGUUUGUUGGUGAGGUAAUGGCCCACCAAGACUAUUACAGGUACGGGCUCUGAGAGGAGUAGCCCGGAGAUGGGUACUGAGACACGGACCCAGGCCCUAUGGGGCGCAGCAGGCGAGAAAACUUUGCAAUGUGCGAAAGCACGACAAGGUUAAUCCGAGUGGUUUCUGCUAAAGGAACCUUUUGUUAGUCCUAGAAACACUAACGAAUAAGGGGUGGGCAAGUUCUGGUGUCAGCCGCCGCGGUAAAACCAGCACCUCAAGUGGUCAGGAUGAUUAUUGGGCCUAAAGCAUCCGUAGCCGGCUCUGUAAGUUUUCGGUUAAAUCUGUACGCUCAACGUACAGGCUGCCGGGAAUACUGCAGAGCUAGGGAGUGGGAGAGGUAGACGGUACUCGGGAGGAAGGGGUAAAAUCCUUUGAUCUCUCGAUGACCACCUGUGGCGAAGGCGGUCUACCAGAACACGUCCGACGGUGAGGGAUGAAAGCUGGGGGAGCAAACCGGAUUAGAUACCCGGGUAGUCCCAGCUGUAAACUAUGCAAACUCAGUGAUGCAUUGACUUGUGGUCAAUGCAGUGCUGCAGGGAAGCCGUUAAGUUUGCCGCCUGGGAAGUACGUACGCAAGUAUGAAACUUAAAGGAAUUGGCGGGGGAGCACCACAAGGGGUGAAGCCUGCGGUUCAAUUGGAUUCAACGCCGGA
rnacentral:rRNA from 1 species